GGAGAGGUGGCAGAGUGGCCGAAUGCGGCAGCUUGCUAAGCUGUUGAGCCGGGCUUCCGGCUCCGAGGGUUCGAAUCCCUCCCUCUCCGCCA
rnacentral:tRNA from 1 species